rnacentral:lncRNA from 1 species
CAAAAAAGUAGGUUCUAUCAUUAUAUAUACUGUACACAUACAUGUAUAAACAUUCCCGAUGUUCUAAAACAUACAUAUUCUAGAAACAUCCUUUCUGAAUGCCAGACACCUUGCCAAGAGCUGCGGGUGGGCAUGAAACAAGCCCUGCAUGGACACUCUGAGGGUGCGAGGAAAGCUAAGGGCAGGUCUGGCAGGCAGGGGGCCAGCGCAAGAGGAGUUGGGAAGAGGAAACAGCUCAUGAGAGCAGCAGGCGGUGGGCCUUGACCAAGGCGGCUGAGAAACUGCUCAGACCGGCUUAGCCACUGCUGCUGGAAACAAAACAUCAGCCCACUGGCCACUACUAGUACCAGGGUGGCUUGUAAGACCGUGCAAACCAACGUCCUUACAUCCAAAAAGCCCCGCAGGAGCUUAUUUAAAAGCGCUCACAACCAGCCUGCAGCCUCACCUGCUGCCACACAGCAGCAGGCAUCUGCUCAGGCUCCCUGCCCUGCCCUCCCCACCCCGCCCUGCUGCACUUCCACAACACUCAGCCCUACCUGCCCAGGUACAUGCACAAGCAUCGCUCAUCUCUGCUGCAUACUACUUGCACUUCUCAAGAGCCAGCCACACCCGGAGGGGAGUCGGGGGUGGGGUGGGGCGGCUCCAACACACUGUCAUCGGCAGAGGACAAAGGUGGAAAGGUGGUUCUCCUGUGGAAAACUAAAAGCUAAAAAAACACAUGCCUGAGCUGGUACAAAAGAAGGGAACCUGAAGACUUCGACGUAGCAAAUUUAAAAGAAGACACCAUGGGAUAUAAGAAAGUAAAAUCAGAAUGGCUAAAUAAUUAGAGAGAUGAAAGAUUAAUAGAUUUGGAGUCUGACUUACAACUAGUCAAGCUGCAGAAAGAAAUGACACUAAGAGCAGGAGGAGGCAAUACUUUAAGAUAAUUUUUCAGAGUGUUUUAAGUCACUAAGUUGCAAAUCAGGGAUGCCCAAUGAGUCUAAACAAUAUUUUGAAAAGAAACAAUGUACCAAGAAAAGUACAGGACAUCAAAGAUAAAAGAUCAUGAAAGCAACCAGGUGGGAAAAGGCAAACUGCUUCCAAGCAUCACAACUAGAUGAAGACCAACAGUGAAAGCCAGAAAAGACCAGUGAAAUACGUUCCACACCCUAAACAGCACCUGCCCGCUAAGGAUGUGGUGCCCAGCAAAAUCAGCCUCUAAGAACCAAGGGCUAGGCCUCGGAGACAUUUAAACAACCCAUCACCCAAAGAACCUCUACAAAAAAGGGAAUUCUAAAGGACGCG